UAUACGCUGGUGUAUGCGUGAGUCUACAUCUCUUCGUCUCAUCGCCUCCUCUCAAUCCCUAAUUCCCCAAUCCCCCAUAUCCAUAUGAUAAUUCCAUGCUGGUCUCUGGUGGAAUUACAGAGAGACGAGCAGCCAAAUCAGCGGGAUUUUGGUCUAAUCUAUUGCACGAUUGUGCGGCAUAACCUGGUGCCAAUCCACCAAGCCUAGAUGGAUUCUUCUCAGGAAGAAACAACUAAAAAUCUUGAAGUCAGCAUUUUGCUUAUUAUUUUCUGACUAUGUCAAGAAGUGGCUAUACUACUUCAGUCAGCGCGUGCUUGGUCGUGGCGGCGAUGGUUGGGUCAUCGUCUUCCUGCCAUCAAGUUAUCCUAUCAUAUCGCUCUGUGCAUGCUUUUGUCUCAAGGUCGGAUGAUUGUUUUGCGCAUGACGUAACCUUGUUCAGAGUCAUGAUGAACUACUGAUGUCCUAAAUUAAAUGUGCCAUGCCUGGCAGACCCACGCUAGCUAGUGCAAGGCAUCUACCUAAGUAGUACGUAACAAAGACUUGUGUGCUUGUGCUGU